rnacentral:rRNA from 1 species
UACGGGGGGAGCAAGCGUUGUUCGGAUUUACUGGGCGUAAAGGGCGUGUAGGCGGCCACCGCAAGUCGACUGUGAAAUCUCCGGGCUUAACCCGGAAAGGUCAGCCGAUACUGCGGGGCUAGAGUGCAGAAGGGGCAACUGGAAUUCUCGGUGUAGCGGUGAAAUGCGUAGAUAUCGAGAGGAACACCCGCGGCGAAGGCGGGUUGCUGGGCUGACACUGACGCUGAUGCGCGAAAGCUAGGGGAGCGAACGGG